GGGGAAUUUUGGACAAUGGGCGCAAGCCUGAUCCAGCCAUUCCGCGUGCAGGAUGAAGGCCCUCGGGUUGUAAACUGCUUUUGUACGGAACGAAAAGGCUCUGGUUAAUACCUGGGGCUCAUGACGGUACCGUAAGAAUAAGCACCGGCUAACUACGUGCCAGCAGCCGCGGUAAUACGUAGGGUGCAAGCGUUAAUCGGAAUUACUGGGCGUAAAGCGUGCGCAGGCGGUGAUGUAAGACAGAGGUGAAAUCCCCGGGCUCAACCUGGGAACUGCCUUUGUGACUGCAUCGCUGGAGUACGGCAGAGGGGGAUGGAAUUCCGCGUGUAGCAGUGAAAUGCGUAGAUAUGCGGAGGAACACCGAUGGCGAAGGCAAUCCCCUGGGCCUGUACUGACGCUCAUGCACGAAAGCGUGGGGAGCAAAC
rnacentral:rRNA from 1 species